GUGCAUACCUGUAGUCCCAGCUACUCGGGAGGCUGAGGCGGGAGAAUUGCUUGAACCCAGGAGGCGGAGGUUGCAGUUAGCCAAGAUCGCGCCACUGCACUCCAGCCUGGGUGACAGAGCGAGACUCCCUCUAAAAAAAAAAAAAGAAAGAAAGAAAGAAAGUGGCAGAUGGUCUCUCUCUCUCCUGGAGCUGAGACACUCUUCUGCCCUGGGACAUGAGAACUCCUGGUUUUCCAACCUCUGCCUCCAGGAUCUCAGCCUCCGUCCCAGCCUCAUCUAUCUAUCUAUCUAUCUAUCUAUCUAUCUAUCUAUCUAUCCACCUAUCUAUCUAUAUUUUUUUAAGCCAGGUGGGGUAAGCCACUGCUCAUGCCUGUGAUCUCAGCAUUUUGGGAGGCCAAAGCAGAAAGAUUGCUUGAGGCCAAGAAUUCAGGACCAACCUUGGCAUGGUGAAACCCCAUCUAUACAAAAAAUUUUAAAAUUAGCCAGGCAUGGUGGCAUGCGCCUGCAGUCCCAUCUCCUCAGGAGGCUGAAGCAGGAAGAUCGCUUGAGCCCAGGAGUUGGAGGCUACAAUGAGCUAUGAUGGCACCACCGCACUCCAGCCUAGGCGACAGAGUGAGACCCUCUCUUAAAAAAAAAAAAAAAGACAAGGGCCAGGUACGGUGGCUCACGCCUGUUAAUCCCAGCACUUUGGGAGGCCAAAGCAAGUGGAUCACCUGAGGUCAGGAGUUCCAGACCAGCCUGGCCAACAUGGUGAAACCCCAUCUCUAUUAAAAAUAAAACAAAUGAGCAGGGGGUGGUGGUACACGCUUGUAAUCCGAGCUACUCGGGAGGCUGAGCCAUGAGAAUCACUUGAACCCGGGAGGCAGAGGCUGCAGUGAGCCGAGAUUGUGCCACUGUACUCCGGCCUGGGUGACAGAGCAAGACUCUGUCUGAAAAAGGAAAAGAGAAGAAGAAAGAAGAAAGAAGAAGAAGAGGAGGAAGAGGAGGAGGAGGAGAAGGAAGAGGAGGAGGAGGGAAAUGAAACAGAAGAAAUGACUUUUUAGGCAUUGGUGCAUAGUCAGGAGGAGUCCCAUUCUUGAAGCCUUGUUUCUGCCGCGUGUCUGGCAUCUACAUUUGCGUGUCCCAGCUGGGAUGCUGUGCGUCACAAGUCACAAAACAAGCGAGACCUCGGAUAGGAGCAAUGAAUGCCUCCUAUCCCCUCCUGCCGAUGAGGGAAACUGAGGCUCAUGGGCUGGGGACCUUCCCAAGGUCACAGGGCCUAUGGGGGCAGGACUGUCCUGGAGCCCAGCUGGGCUCUGGGCUGAUUUCCCGACACAGAACUCCUGCUCUGGUGAUUUCUCGGACCUCCAGAAGAUGGAAGUCAAACAGAAGUAGUAAGCAAAGCCAAGCCCUGCAUGCCAUGGCAUCUGCCCUGACCUUGACUUCUAUGGCCCUUGCUCUGACCCCACAGGUCCAGGCCUCGCUGUCCACUGCACCGGGACACACCUGUCCCCAGGUACCAGCGACACCUCUGCCCCAGCCAGGCUCAGACAGCCACUGGUAACCACAGCUCCCAGGAGGCUGGGGCUGGGCCUGUCCAGGGUCCAUGGCCUGCCGCCCUCUUCCUGGCCCCAGCCUGCUGUUGACCUUCGAGCCGACCUUGGCAAUGGAAUCUUUAGGGCCGCAGAGGGGACCCCCGAAGUGAAACUCAAGCCUAGAAAUGGAUUUUCUGUUUCUCCAAGAGCAAAAGAUGUUGAAUAAAAAAUUAGUUACUAUUUUUACUGUCGGGAUCCAGUUGUUAUGGCAACUGAGGGCCUGACUCCUGCUCAGGAGGAGGCGGGGUUGGAGUAUGAUGAGGGAGAAGGCAGGGAUGGGGCUUG
rnacentral:lncRNA from 1 species